AAUCAACGCUGGCGGCGUGCCUAACACAUGCAAGUCGAACGCGAAAGCCCCUUCGGGGUAAGUAGAGUGGCGUCCGGGUGAGUAACACGUAGGUAAUCUACCUUCGGGUGGGGAAGUAACCAGUCGAAAGAUUGGCGUAAUACCGCAUAAUGCAGCGGCACCUAAUGGUGAUUAGUUGUUAAAGCGGGGGAUCGUAAGACCUCGCGCCUGAAGAGGAGCCUGCGGCAGAUUAGCUAGUU
rnacentral:rRNA from 1 species